rnacentral:SRP_RNA from 1 species
GCCAGGCGUGGUGGUGCGCGCCUGUAAUCCCAGCUACCUGGGAGGCUGAGGCAGGAGAAUGACUUGAACCCGGGAGGUGGAGGUUACAGUGAGCUGAGAUCUCACCACUGUACUCCAGCCUGGGUGACACAGUGAGACUCCGUCUCAA